rnacentral:rRNA from 1 species
GCUGUCGCUAUGGGAUGGCCCCGCGGUGCAUUAGCUAGUUGGUAAGGUAAAGGCUUACCAAGGCGAUGAUGCAUAGCCGAGUUGAGAGACUGAUCGGCCACAUUGGGACUGAGACACGGCCCAAACUCCUACGGGAGGCAGCAGUAGGGAAUCUUCCACAAUGGACGCAAGUCUGAUGGAGCAACGCCGCGUGAGUGAAGAAGGUUUUCGGAUCGUAAAGCUCUGUUGUUGGUGAAGAAGGAUAGAGGUAGUAACUGGCCUUUAUUUGACGGUAAUCAACCAGAAAGUCACGGCUAACUACGUGCCAGCAGCCGCGGUAAUACGUAGGUGGCAAGCGUUGUCCGGAUUUAUUGGGCGUAAAGCGAGCGCAGGCGGAAGAAUAAGUCUGAUGUGAAAGCCCUCGGCUUAACCGAGGAACUGCAUCGGAAACUGUUUUUCUUGAGUGCAGAAGAGGAGAGUGGAACUCCAUGUGUAGCGGUGGAAUGCGUAGAUAUAUGGAAGAACACCAGUGGCGAAGGCGGCUCUCUGGUCUGCAACUGACGCUGAGGCUCGAAAGCAUGGGUAGCGAACAGGAUUAGAUACCCUGGUAGUCCAUGCCGUAAACGAUGAGUGCUAAGUGUUGGGAGGUUUCCGCCUCUCAGUGCUGCAGCUAACGCA